UCACCGUGCCCGGCCCUGAUGUUAGCAUCUUAAGUUACCAUGCUGUGUUUGUCAAAACUAAGAAACCAACAUUGUUACAUUACCUUAGACUAAACUCCAGCCCUGCCCACAGCCCCCGGCUGCCCACGCACUGUCCGGGAAACCAGCAGCAAAUAGGCGGAAGAACCAUCCACUGCCUGCUCCCCAGGGCUGCAGCAAGCAAGGUGGAGCCAGAGACCACCACCAGGCAAGUGAGACCCAGCCCCACUUCCACGUGGGCAAAGCUGCCGCCACCCCGGCCAGUCCAGGACGGCCGCAGAGGCCCCACCUCGUCCUGCAAAGGAGGGAGCCUGCCGCGCUCCCGGCUCUGCCAGACGCUCCUGCCCGAGGGCCUGCGUCCUGCAGUUCCCCAGUGCGGGCUCCCGGUCCCUCCCACCAGGUGCCCGGUCGGUCGGUCGUAGGGGACAAAUUUCUAACCAGCAGGACACAAUUGGAGAAACCGGUUAUUUUACCAAAGCUUUGGAAUGGUGUACUUUCCCUUAAGGAAUCAAAUAUGACUUAUGGAAACAAUAAAAGUCCCUUGGGAAAACUGGCCUCAUACCUUGUCUACACAGUUUCUGUACAGGAUUCCUGACCUGUGGGUCUGGCUGUUCAUCCAGGCUGGGGUGUAGCGGUGCGAUCUCAGCUCACUGCAGACUCUGCCUCCCGGACUCAAGCCAUCCUCCCACCUCAGUCUCCCAAAGUGCUGGGAUUACAGGUGUGAGCCACCCCGCCCAGCCUGCGUGUCUUCUUGAUGAAUGAAUGAUUUGCUAAUACAUAGUACUCUGUUCAAGACUUUUCCUUUUCUCACUGGAAUUGCAACAAUUGUAGCUAAUUUACUCUGUGCCCUAUAUUCUCUCCCAUAAUCUUUACAACAACACUACAACGUGUGUACUAUUAUUAUCUCCAUUUUACAAAUGAGAAAAGUGAAGUUCACUAACUUUAUCAUGAUCAGUUAGCUGGUGAGUGGUGUAGCUGGCAUUGGUAUCCUAGGCAGCCUGACUCCAGUUCCUAUUUCCUUAACCACUACAGAAAAUCCACUCCUGAGUUCAUUAUAGAAUUAGGACUUAUUCUCCCUUUCAUUGGCCCUAAUUGCAUUGUGUGCUUAUUCCUGGACCGAACAUUAAGAGGAGGGGGAUGGGAUUGUUAAUUGUAUUAAGUCAAGCAAGGCCUAUUCCCACUAUGGAUGGGUUUAAUCCAUACAAAUGACAUGUGAUACAGUUUGGCUGAGUCCCCACCCAAAUCUCAUCUUGAAUUGUAGCUCCCAUAAUCCCCACAUGUCAUGGGAGAGACCUAGUGGGAGGUAAAUGAAUUAUGGGGGUGGGUUUUUCCCAUGCUGUUCUCAUGACAGUGAGUCAGUCUAAAAAUAUCUGACGGUUUUAUAAAGGGCAGUUCCCCUGCACACGCUGUCUUGCCUGCCGCCAUGUCAGACAUGCCUUUGCCCCUCCUUCGCCUUCACCAUGAUUGUGAGGUCUUCCCAGCCAUGUGGAACCGUGAGUUCAUUAGAUCUUUUUUUCUUUAUAAAUUACCAAGUAUUGGGCAUUUCUUCAUAGCAGUAUGCAAAUAGACUAAUACAACAUGCCUGCUCUAUAAUAGCCUUGACAAUUAUGUGGCUACUUUGUUUAGUUUCAAUCAGGUGAAAGUGAUGACUCAAAGAAGAUGCACUCUCUUUCUUUAUCAAUAUUCCUCUGGGAGGGAGUAACUAACUUUUCAGAGAACCUUGCCAAGCCUUUAUUUCUCACUUGCUUCUGAAGUUGUAAGGUAGAUGCUAUCCUCACAAACUCCCAACACUCUUCACUUUCCAGUAGUUGUUGUUUGGGUGUGAGCUGGCCUAAUUGGACCCAUGAACUUGACUUGACUAAACUAUCUGAAGGGAAUACUCUCAUAGUAUAGGUAUUUAUUUAACAUAUGCGUAUUGAGGCCUAUACUAUGCCAGCUACUGCACAAACUGCUAGGAUACCACUGUGGACAAAAACAAAACAAAACAAAACAAAAACUAGGCAUUCUGUCUCCAUGGAGUUUACAUUUUAGAAUGGGAAGCUUACUAUAAGGUCAAUAGGUAAUAUUUGUAGUAUAUUAGUGCUAAUUGCUAAUAAAGAAAAUAAAAAGAAAAUGAAGUAGGAAGGAAGAAUGGGGGUUGGAUUACAACUGUAGUCUGGAUGGCCAAGGUCAACCUCAAAGAGAAGGUGGCAUCUGAAUAAAGAUGGGAUGGAGAUCAGGGCCUCUGGAAAGGUCCCUGGGGAGGAGAUGAAAGGUCUUCUGAGGGAAUAAGGCUCCAGGCUAUUCUGUGACAUCCCCAGAAUAUUAAAACAAUAAGUGUCAAAAGCAUUAGCAAAUGUGUGAUGUUUCAAAACAUGUUCUUAUGUCGAAGUUACAGGGCAGUACUCUCUUUCAAUCUGGUCAGUGUCAUUUUUGUGAUCUGUAUAGCCACCUUUGGGGAAAAUGUCACAAGUCUAAAUCUGAGGCUGCUGGUGGACAUGAGGCUCAGGCCCCAAACCCCCUCCCCUCCUCCAGCUCUUGACUUCUUGUAAUGAGGGCAGGCAUCAGAAGGUCUGGGUUCUAAUGCCCACACCACCUCUUAAACGAACUAGCCCUGAACCUCUCUUUUAGAGGCAAUUUUCUCCUUUAUAAAUCAAGAAUUAUCUCUGUCCUAUACAUGAAUUUAGAUUUGUUGUGACAGCAACAUUGGGCUGUUCCCAAUUUUCCCACCCCAUUCCACAUCUGGGGUUUCUAUUAUUUUUCCUUGGAUAAGAGAAAAGAUGUGGACUUCCUUACUUCCAUGGAAUUUUCCAAGCACAACUGAGGUACGAUCCAUGGGAUCAGAUACAGGAUGGGAUGUACUAGGAGCUGGUCUGGGAUUCACCUGAAGUCAGGCAGGAAAUAAAAGUCCAGGAGGAAGAAAGCCCUUCUUUAUCAAUUUGACCCUUGGCUGCUUUUCUUGAUAGUACCAUCCCUCAAGGAACAAGAUAAAGAACAAGAAUUUAGAACUCUCCCCUUGCUACAAUGCAAUGAUAGAAUACUGGAUAGAGAGAACACAUUCUUAAAGUUUUUCAAAUCUGUUCCCAAGAUGUCCACAUUUGAAAUACUCAGUGAAGCCAAAUAAAUACUUGCCGUGUCUUUAAUAAUCUGUACCAUGAUUACACCAGGGAAGUGCUGAUGAAAAUCCCCUGUUGGUUUAGUUGGAUCACUGUAGCUGUCUCCUAUUUAUUACAGUAUCCUGCCUGGAAUACAUGGAUAACUUCUCUAUGACAUCAUUAAACAUGUCAUCUCAGAACCUGGAACUUUGGCAGACUUUGGAUCCUAUUUCACUUUUAUGCCAUGACUAGUUCAUUUGUGGACAGCCAAGAAUCAGAAAACUGAGGGCUUUAUAUGCAGAAUCAGUAAUGUGUUUGCUUUAUUUUCAUCUUUUAUAACCUAUUUCUAAAUAUCCUUCUCCCUUCUCUAAUCCCUCCAUCCCAUCACCAAAUGAGAAGUAAGCAGAGUAAUAUUAAAUAGAUGAGAUUUUCACUUAAGAAUUUGAAGAUUUUGCUGUUGAGAAAAAUACUAAAGUCUUAACCCUAUAAUAAUGAGUUUCCUGUAAGUUUGAUUUCAUGAGUCAUAAAUUCCCUGAACUUUGUUAUUUUGCUCUAAUUAUUUAGAGAGUAAAGAAAUGUCACUUUUAUGCUCUAGAUCAAGGGUUGGCAAAUGUUUUCUCUAAGGGAACAGAUACUAUUUUAGUUUUAUGGGCCUCAUACAGUCUUUGUUGCAUGUUCCUUAUGUUUUUGCAACCUUUAAAAAAUGUAAAAACCAUUCGCAGCUAGUAGGAUGUACAAAGAACAGCAGCAGUUUGCUGACCCCUGCACUUGAUGAUUUGCCAUUUUCAGAACUGAUGUCAGAAAAAUUCUGAACAUGACCAUGGCCAAUGUUCUUCAAAUCUACAGAGCAACAAGAACAACCAAAAUGAGAAAUAGUAGAUUCUAUAAUAAAACAAAAAUAGCAAAAUCCUUCUUUCUGUUUUUCUAUAUAUGCAGCUCUGGGCCUUCAAUCAUGUGUUGCAUGAAAACUGUCAGAUGGAGACAGUGGCUGCCUCUGUAGAGGUAUUUGAAGUAUGCAUGUAACAAAAUAUCACAUGUACCCCAUAAAUACGUAGAAGUAUUAUGUAUUGAUAUGGUUUGGCUGUGUCCCCACUCAAAUCUCAUCUUGAAUUGUAGCUCCCAUAAUUCCCAAGGGUUGUGGGAGGGACCGGUGGGAGAUAAUUGAAUAAUGGGGGCAGUUCUUCCAUACUGUUCUCAUGGUAGUGAAUACAUCUCAUGAGAUCUGAUGGUUUUAUAAGACGUUUCCCCAUUUGCUUGGCUCUCAUUCUCUCUUGCCUGCUGCCAUGUAAGACGUGACUUUCACCUUCUGCCAGAAUUGUGAGGCCUCCCCAGCCACAUGGAACUGUGAAUCUAUUAAACCUCUUUUUCUUUAUAAAUUACCUAGACUUGGGUAUGUCUUUAUCAGCAACGUGAAAAGAGACUAAUACACGUAUUAACAAAAAAAUUUUUUUUAUUAUAGUUUAAGUUUUAGGGUACAUGUGCACAAUGUGCAGGUUAGUUACAAAUGUAUACAUGUGCCAUGUUGGUGUGCUGCACCCAGUAACUCGUCAUUUAACAUUAGGUAUAUCUCCAAAUGCUAUCCCUCCUCCCUCCCCCCACCCCACAACAGGCCCCGGUGUGUGAUGUUCC
rnacentral:lncRNA from 1 species